rnacentral:tRNA from 1 species
UCUUAGAUGACUGAGAAAUAAGUAUUAGAUUUUUAAUCUAAAGACGGCUGAUAUAUGCCUCUAAGAA